UUCUCCCCACACAAAAGAAAAAAAAAACCCUUCUUCCCAAACUUCUUCCUCCUGUCGCCGCCGCCACCCUCACUACCUAGACCGACCUCGCCGUCGCCUCCCUCACUGCCACUUGUUCGCCCGUGGAUCGCCGCUGCUCGUCGUCACUGUCGAAGUGUCGCUCGCGCCCAUGGGUCGCUGGCGCUCGUCGUCACAAUCGGAGUACCACUCGUUCGCCCGUGGGUCGCUGCUGUUCGUCGUCACGUCGUCUCUUCCACGCCUUUCCUCCAUUCGUAUAGUCACCGAUCGUCUUCCAGCCGCCAGAUCUGUGGUGCAGUAGCAGAUUCGAAGCCUAGCCACCAGACACGCAGACUUCUUUCGGCCAUUGUUCGUCGCAAUGCUGCCGGAAACCACGCGCCGCCAGACCUUUCUUUCGUUCGCCAUCGUUUUGUUGAUUUUGAGUGUUGAGAUUGGUUGGAUUUGGGAGGAUUUUGAGGUGGCCCACCAAGUUUGAAGUUUAAGACCAAUUUGGGGGGAAAUUUUGUUAAGACACUUCAAGGCUUUGAUUGGCAAGGAAGGGACAGGCUUGCUUGAACUAAUUUAGAUUUACUUUGAGGUAAGGGUAGAGAUACAUACAUCGACGAUGGCGCAACGGAAUUCGUGAUCGUGCCACUGGGACUAGUUUUUACGCUUCCGCAUCAUGAAAUUUAGAGUCCUUAUUUUUCCCUUAAUGUUUAGUUUUACUAUUU